UACGUAGGGGGCAAGCGUUGUCCGGAAUUAUUGGGCGUAAAGCGCGCGCAGGCGGUCAAUUAAGUCUGGUGUUUAAGGCUGAGGCUCAACCUCAGUUCGCACUGGAAACUGGUUGACUUGAGUACAGAAGAGGAAAGUGGAAUUCCACGUGUAGCGGUGAAAUGCGUAGAGAUGUGGAGGAACACCAGUGGCGAAGGCGACUUUCUGGGCUGUAACUGACGCUGAGGCGCGAAAGCGUGGGUAGCAAACAGG
rnacentral:rRNA from 1 species